UCAUACAUGUGCAACUCUAGAGCGGUUAGGAUUGAUUUUAUUAUACAUUAAUGCAAUUUUUUCGUAAAUGAAUAAGCUACCCUCAUACAUGUCUAACAACUUUUAUUAAUUUUGGCAUGUGCUACCAUACAUCUGAACCUACAGUCAUAUAUCUGAACCAACAUAUCAUACAUUUGAACCUAUUUUCAUACAUUUGAAGCUAUUGUCAUACAACUGAACCAAUAUAUCAAAAGUGUGGUCUAUGUUUGUCUAAAAAUAUAUUCCAAGACUUAUAAAAGAAAGAAAGAAAGAAGAAAAUAAGGAUUUGAAAAAUCUUGUUACCCAAAAUGUUCAUUAACAUCAAGAAAGUAAAGUUGGAAUUGUUUGACAAGAACCACAAAAUGAAGAAUUAGUUUUUCAAUGCCGACUAUUUUAAAAAUAAUGCUACUCUAAAGUAACAAUUUCACUUGUAUCAAUUACAUCUAGAACAGUAUUCCUAGGCCGAGGUGGAUCGCCUUUAUCACUUGUGUACCCUUAUUUUGCCUUUUCGACUCCGUCAUGCUACAGUAAUGAAGAAUAUCGUGUACGUUGACUUGCGGCAUCAAACCCACGUGAAUGAAGUUGGUGCCUUCCACUUAAUAUUUUUGCAUAGGCAAAGACAAAGACCCCAAAGUCCCUGAUUUCAAAAAAUAUAAAAUAAAAUAAUAAUCAGUACAUUACUUAUAACAUUGUUAUACAUGAAAAAAAAACUGUCAUGUACUUACAAACUAUCAAACCUUUGUUGUAGGAUAUUUUGAACAUAGUCAACAUAAAAUAGGAUUUCAUUAACAAGAUGUAUGAUACGUUGGUAUAGAUGUAUGAAUGUAGAUUUAGAUGUAUGAUAUGUUGGUUCAGAUGUAUGACUGUAGGUUCAAAUGUAUGACAGUAGGUUCAGAUGUAUGAUAUGUUGGUUCAGAUGUAUGACAGUAGGUUCAUAUGUAUGGUAGCACAUGUCAAAAUUAAUAAAAGUUGUUAGACAUGUAUAUGGGUUACUUAUUUAUGUACGAACAAAUUGCAUUAAUAUAUAAUAAAAUCAACCCUAACCGCUAUAGAGUUGCACAUGUAUGAGGGAAACUUAUACAUCUAACAUUUCAUAUUAGACUCUACUAAAAGUACAUAUCAACAUGUAUGAGGUAACUUAUACGCCAAAAUUUUUUAUUUAGAACCAUAAUUAAACUUAAUAUCAGCUUUAUUAGUCGGAUAAGAACCAAAUAAGAACUAACAACUUUAGAACAAAAAAAAUAAAGCUUAGACUUUCAAUAAAUGGAAAAAAAAUUAUAUUAUUGAACUAUCACACUGAAAUGAUUUUACAAUAGCAAUUAAUUUCAUAAAAAAUAAACAUGCAACCAAAAAUCAAACCAGAUUGUGAUUUGAUAAAGUUGAAAAAAAAUUGAAAAUUAGUGGAAAAAAUAAUACAUAAGUCCAACAAAUGUUUGAUAACUUACAAAUUGGUAACCUCUAAGUAUACGAUUGCUUGAAUUUGAGCGUGAAAAAAUGUUCUUCACGUUCUUCAUAUGGAAAAGAGAGAUAAAUUCAAUGGAAAAGAAAGAUAAAUUAAAUGGGAAUGUGGGUACAAGAAAUUUAUUAUUUUUUCCUUUUCGGAUCUACAAUCCUCACUCCAUGGCGAUUGGAGAAGAAUUUUCUUCAAGCAGAUACUUAACUUCAAUUUUUUUUGUAGCACUGAAAACUUAGGUACAACAAAUUUGUUGUUUUUUUCUUUUUGGAUCUUCAAAGAUAGAUUGCAAAAUCUGGAAAAAAAUAAAUAAAUGAAGCUUAACAUACACUUUGAAAUUCAAAUACAUGUGCAUACAAAUAUCCAACACAAAAAAAAAAAAAAAACUAAAGGUAGCUAAUUAGGUGCGUGACUUUAGGAACACUAAACAACCUAAUCAUUUCAGUUUCC
rnacentral:lncRNA from 1 species